rnacentral:rRNA from 1 species
GAUAACGUUCGGAAACGGACGCUAAUACCGCAUACGUCCUACGGGAGAAAGCAGGGGACCUUCGGGCCUUGCGCUAUCAGAUGAGCCUAGGUCGGAUUAGCUAGUUGGUGGGGUAAUGGCUCACCAAGGCGACGAUCCGUAACUGGUCUGAGAGGAUGAUCAGUCACACUGGAACUGAGACACGGUCCAGACUCCUACGGGAGGCAGCAGUGGGGAAUAUUGGACAAUGGGCGAAAGCCUGAUCCAGCCAUGCCGCGUGUGUGAAGAAGGUCUUCGGAUUGUAAAGCACUUUAAGUUGGGAGGAAGGGCAGUAAAUUAAUACUUUGCUGUUUUGACGUUACCGACAGAAUAAGCACCGGCUAACUCUGUGCCAGCAGCCGCGGUAAUACGAAUCACUAGUGAAUUCGCGGCCGCCUGCAGGUCGACCAUAUGGGAGAGCUCCCAA